GAUGAAGAACGCAGCGAAAUGCGAUACGUAGUGUGAAUUGCAGAAUCCAGUGAAUCAUCGAGUCUUUGAACGCACAUUGCGCCCCCUGGUAUUCCGGGGGGCAUGCCUGUCCGAGCGUCAUUGCUGCCCUCAAGCACGGCUUGUGUGUUGGGCCUCCGUCCUCCUCCCGGGGGACGGGCCCGAAAGGCAGCGGCGGCACCGCGUCCGGUCCUCGAGCGUAUGGGGCUUCGUCACCCGCUCUUGUAGGCCCGGCCGGCGCUUGCCGACACAUCAAUCUUUUUUCCAGGUUGACCUCGGAUCAGGUAGGGAUACCCGCUGAACUUAAGCAUAUCAAUAAGCGGAGGA
rnacentral:misc_RNA from 1 species